rnacentral:rRNA from 1 species
UACGAAGGGGGCUAGCGUUGCUCGGAAUUACUGGGCGUAAAGGGCGCGUAGGCGGACAGUUUAGUCAGAGGUGAAAGCCCAGGACUCAACCUUGGAAUAGCCUUUGAUACUGGCUGUCUUGAGUUCGGGAGAGGUGAGUGGAAUGCCGAGUGUAGAGGUGAAAUUCAUAGAUAUUCGGCGGAACACCAGUGGCGAAGGCGACUCACUGGCCCGAUACUGACGCUGAGGCGCGAAAGCGUGGGGAGCAAACAGG